AUUGUGGGUGGGGUGUUCUCUUACUCAUCCAUGACAACCAUUUUCAUUCAUUCAUUUUAAAUGUGGGUGGGGUAGGAGUGCUAGGAGGGAUUUCUCUGCCUGAAAACUGCCAGAAAAGGGAAGGAAUCUGAGAACAAAACUAAGAGAGGGAGGAGUAAAUAUCAUCGCUCCACUGCUGGAUUUGUCUAAACUUUAUUUUAUGAUUAGAUUGUUUUCAUUUUUGCCUUGUUAUGUUUUUGGUUGCUAUUUGAUUUUCAGAUUUCAUCCUUAAAGCAAGCAAUGAGGUUACUUUCCAUUUCAAUAGUAAAAUCUAGCUGUUGGCCAGAUCUGAAGGAAGACACCUCAACACAAGAAACCCUCUUUUUCGCUGGUGCUGUCACUGAAUAGGCUGUCAAUGGAAAAUUUGAAAGGCAGAUUAAUUCUCCUGCAAAGGAAUCCUGGAUUUCAAUUUCCAGCCACACUUCUGACAGGCUAUGUGGCAUAAGGCAUUUACAGGAGGGAGAAGGGGGGGGAAGACUAGUCCCAGAUUAGUCAGGUUUGCAUAUGGAGGAUCAAAGUAGACUCUCAACAUAAUACAGGUAUCCUUGCUUUUUGAAAUUGCAUUUUGCCACUUUGCUUUUAUGAAAGACCUACAUUCGUACCUCCUACCAUUAACCUAAAGAAACCCAAAGAGGGUUUUCGCUUUUAGGCAAACUGCAAGCAGGGGGAGUGGCACCGCCAAGCUCUUCCCCUGGGAACUACAAGACUCAGCAUCUCAGCCUCAAGCAGCUAUUAGCUUUGACCUGUGUCUGUGAGCAUCUGUACUUCAUCUCAUUUUAUUUUGUGUAUCCACUAGCAAGAUGUGCACUAUGGUAUUAGAAAAGGGUCUGGGAAGGCUCAAAAGUAUUUCCAUAUAAACUAAUGGUAACUGUUUCUUUGCUUUACACCAUUUCAGCUUAAGGAUAGGUUUCAUAGGAACACUACUUUCCCAUAGCAAGGGAAACCUGUAGUCCUAAUUAGAAAGGUAGUCGUAAGAGAGACAAAGGGGCUUUUCCUCCAGCUAGUAACUAUUCAGAUGAUGGACAAGACUUCUUUCAUAAAAGCUUACAAAGGAGGCAUCCAAAAUACUGUCUGUGAUAGUGGGUCACAUAUUAGUCACUGCAGCUAAUUGUAAAUCUUUCUAUGAAAUACUGAAAAGCCUCUUUGUGAAUUAAUACAGUUCUGCUUGAUGCACUUGAUUUGAAAUGACUUUUCUCUGUAUGUGGUGCAUGUCAGCUUUGCUUUGAAAAAUAACAAAGUUAGCAGAAUAUGUUCAAUAUAUUUUCUUGGGGAAUAGGGUUUUUAUCAUAUGAUUCAUUAAGGAUUUGCCUUACCCUGACAUUUGUGAUAUAAAGGAAAAUCAGAAAAAAAAAGUAAUUUUCUUGAUCAAAAUAUGUUUUUACUUAAUGCAAAUAAAUGUAGUCUGUUGCUUGCAAGGAAAAAAAAUGUCUUCUGAUAUCUGGUAUAAACUGCUAAAUAGAAUAAUACGUGCCUCUUUUGUUAAACCAGCAUUUAAAUGCUGGACUGCUUCUAAAUCUGUUUGUUUCUUUUCAUCUGUGCCAUACACUAAGAAACUUAAACAACUGUUGCCUUCCUACUAUAUUUGUUAGAGCAGAAUAUGAAUAAAAUUGGUUUGAGAGGA
rnacentral:lncRNA from 1 species